CACUCUGGUGGUUCUAUUGGUUAAAGUGUCCGCCUAUAAUGUGGGAGGUCGUGGGUUCAAACCCCGGUCAAGUCA